rnacentral:rRNA from 1 species
AUUGAACGCUGGCGGCAUGCUUUACACAUGCAAGUCGAACGGCAGCACGGGCUUCGGCCUGGUGGCGAGUGGCGAACGGGUGAGUAAUGCAUCGGAACGUACCGUGUAAUGGGGGGAUAACGUAGCGAAAGUUACGCUAAUACCGCAUACGCCCUGAGGGGGAAAGUGGGGGACCGCAAGGCCUCACGUUAUACGAGCGGCCGAUGUCGGAUUAGCUAGUUGGUGGGGUAAAGGCCUACCAAGGCGACGAUCCGUAGCGGGUCUGAGAGGAUGAUCCGCCACACUGGGACUGAGACACGGCCCAGACUCCUACGGGAGGCAGCAGUGGGGAAUUUUGGACAAUGGGCGCAAGCCUGAUCCAGCCAUGCCGCGUGAGUGAAGAAGGCCUUCGGGUUGU